ACGAGAUUGAUAGAAUAGUAUCAGUUUAAAAAAAAUAGGUAUUCAGGUCAAUUCAUUUGACCCAAAAUUCUUCAAGAUGGUGCCCCAGUAUGGCCAAAGUCUAAAUGCUGAAACAAGCAAAAAACAGAAGGUAGAAGAUAUUGGUGUGAAGACGAAUCUGCAGACAGUAGCAUCUUCUUUGUCCCCUUAAUACAAAGAAGAAGGACACCAGUGAUACUCACCCAUGGUUUCCUACGAGUCUGCAGUUAUUGCAGGCAUUUGUUUGGGUUGAGUGGGGGGAGGGGAGGGUGGCAGACUCAUUUCUUGGAAGUUAUAACUUUUAGCUUCUUUAGGGCUCUAAUUAUAAUUAAACCUUGUUGGAUUCUGUUAUAGAAUGAAGCUAAUUAAUUUGAUAAUGAUGACAUAUGUCAAAGCCAUUGUUUAUAAUUAGAAGAAUGUGAAAAACAAGAAGAAGAACAACAACAACCAAAUAGAGACGUUUCUGUAGAAUUGGCCAGCCUUGUACAAUCAGCAGUUGUGACCUUUAGUCAAAAAUAGAGAAGUUCUGCAGAAGUGGAUAUAAAUCUAAUAUCAAAAGUAGAUAAGUUAUACGUUCUGUAAACUUGGGAUCCCCAUCGUAUGACAGGUCCUAAACUUUUAAUCUACAUGGUAACAAAAAUGAGUGACAGAAUUCUUAUAGCUGGGAUGUGUGUGAAGUUGGAACAUCCACUGCAAUGGAUGCAAAUAAGCACAAUGGCAAAGUGUACGGAGGGAAGAAAUGAUAUAAAAUGCAUCUUGCAUUUCUUAUACUUUUUCCUAUAAGUGUGUGUGUGUAAUCCAGCUGAAUAGGAAAGUUCAGGUCGGAGAUAAUUAGAGAAUCUUUUUGAGUGGUCUAUUUGGGAACUGUAGCUAUAAGAUUGUAUAACAGUACCCUGUCUUGUUGGCUAUUUAUUUGUUUUAGCAUGACUGAAGACUUCAUCUUCACAAAUGAAUUUACUUAAUAAGUCUUAAUCUCCCCAAUCACAUCAAAUUUGUUCAAAAAUGUAUAAAGAAGAUAACAAAAUGAUGGGUUAACACUUUGAGCUGGGGUUGGAUUUUCUGUCGAAGACCUUGGAGUAGAGGAAUAGAUUAAAGACUGACAUGGAACCUAGCAUAAAAGGAAAUAUUGAUAAUGUCUAAAAUAUUAGUGAAGUAGAGAUGAAAGCCUUGAGUUGUUUGUAUAAAAUCUCAGAUAUUUCUAUUGUUGGGUGAUGGUCAAUGCAAUGAAAACUUGUGUAUAACAACAGUUGGUAUUUUAGUCAUUGCUUUCUAGUUUGGGCAAGGAAUUUUUCUCAAAAAACUUAUUCCCAUAAUUCUUUCAUAUCUGUAAAUGACAUUAAAUCAUCAUUAGUUCACAUGGUUAUAUGGAAUGGCAGGCAGAGAGUUAGGACUUUGGUCUCCAAUUAUUCAAAAUUACUAACAAUAACACUAAAAAGAUUGAUACAAAGAGGGUAGGUAUGACUAAUCCAAAAGCGACCCUCCAGUCUAUCUAACCCCUAAACAACAAUUCUCUUUACAUUUAUUCUCCACUCCAUAUAUUUAUAUUUUUAAUGCUUUUUAUAUUCUUCAUAUGACAAUACUGUUCUCUCUCUCUUCAUUACACUCUAACUUGCCCUCCUUUCUUUUUCAACUGAAGUAGGUGUCUCUAGCAAGACACCUAUCUCUGUACCUCUAGUCUCCUAUCAAUUGGCACAGCGCCACUACCCCCUCUACUACUUGCUCCUCCCAGCUGAGGGGGACCAUGUCUUAAAAGUUAUUUGGUAACCCAGUCAGUGCUGAUGCCACACAAAAAGCACUGGGGCAGGGCCCACAUAGAAAGCACCUGGCACACUGUGUAAAGUGGUUGGUGUUAGGAAGGGCAUUCAGCUGUAGAAACCAUACCAAAACAGACAAAUGGAGCCUGGUGUGGUUCUUGGCCUUACCAGCUCCUGUCCAACCCAUGCCAGCAUGGAAAAACAGACGUUAAACAAUGAAGAUGAUAUGUAUGUAUAUAUCCUACUCUCACUCAUCCUAUACUUUCUACUUUUUAAUAUAAACUCAUGUUAAAGUAAACCAAACAGCUUCAUUACAAAACAAAUGCUUGUGCACACACACACACACACACACACCUCUAUCUUAAUGUCCAAUUCAAUAACAGUGAAUGUAUUUAACAUGAAUGAUUG